rnacentral:rRNA from 1 species
CCUACGGGCGGCAGCAGUGAGGAAUAUUGGUCAAUGGGCGCGAGCCUGAACCAGCCAAGUAGCGUGAGGGAUGACGGCCCUACGGGUUGUAAACCUCUUUUGUCGGGGAGCAACGGGCGCCACGUGUGGCGCCACUGAGAUUAUCCGGAGAAAAAGCUUCGGCUAAUUCCGUGCCAGCAGCCGGGGUAAUACGAGGGACGCGGUCGUUAUCGGGAUUUAUUGGGUUUAAUGGGUGCGUAGGCGGUGCGUUAGGUCAGUGGUCAAAUUUGGGGGUUAAACGUCUUAUCGCCAUUGAAACUGGCGCUCUUGAGUGGAAGUGAAGUAGGCGGAAUGCGUGGUGUAGCGGUGAAAUGCAUAGAUAUCACGCAGAACCUCGAUUGCGAAGGCAGCAUGCCGGCUUCCUACUGACGCUGAAGCACGAAAGCGUGGGGAUCGAACAGGAUUAGAUACCCCGGUAGUC